ACGCUGGCGGCAGGCUUAACACAUGCAAGUCGAACGGUAACAGGGAUUAGCUUGCUAAUCUGCUGACGAGUGGCGGACGGGUGAGUAAUGCUUGGGAAUCUGGCUUAUGGAGGGGGAUAACUACGGGAAACUGUAGCUAAUACCGCGUAAAAUCUUCGGAUUAAAGGGUGGGACUUUCGAGCCACCUGCCAUAAGAUGAGCCCAAGUGGGAUUAGGUAGUUGGUUAGGUAAAGGCUGACCAAGCCGACGAUCUCUAGCUGGUCUGAGAGGAUGACCAGCCACACUGGAACUGAGACACGGUCCAGACUCCUACGGGAGGCAGCAGUGGGGAGUAUUGCACAAUGGGGGGAACCCUGAUGCAGCCAUGCCGCGUGAAUGAAGAAGGCCUUCGGGUUGUAAAGUUCUUUCGGUGACGAGGAAGGUUGAUAGGUUAAUAGCCUAUCAAAUUGACGUUAAUCACAGAAGAAGCACCGGCUAACUCCGUGCCAGCAGCCGCGGUAAUACGGGGGGUGCGAGCGUUAAUCGGAAUAACUGGGCGUAAAGGGCACGCAGGCGGUGACUUAAGUGAGAUGUGAAAGCCCCGAGCUUAACUUGGGAAUUGCAUUUCAUACUGGGUCGCUAGAGUACUUUAGGGAGGGGUAGAAUUCCACGUGUAGCGGUGAAAUGCGUAGAGAUGUGGAGGAAUACCGAAGGCGAAGGCAGCCCCUUGGGAAUGUACUGACGCUCAUGUGCGAAAGCGUGGGGAGCAAACAGGAUUAGAUACCCUGGUAGUCCACGCUGUAAACGAUGUCGAUUUGGGGAUUGGGCUUUGAGCUUGGUGCCCGUAGCUAACGUGAUAAAUCGACCGCCUGGGGAGUACGGCCGCAAGGUUAAAACUCAAAUGAAUUGACGGGGGCCCGCACAAGCGG
rnacentral:rRNA from 1 species